rnacentral:rRNA from 1 species
CGGCGGAACACGUGAAAUUCCGUCGGAAUCCGGGAGGACCAUCUCCCAAGGCUAAAUACUCCCUAGUGACCGAUAGUGAACCAGUACCGUGAGGGAAAGGUGAAAAGCACCCCGGAAGGGGAGUGAAACAGUUCCUGAAACCGUGUGCCUACAAGUAGUUAGAGCCCGUUAAUGGGUGAUAGCGUGCCUUUUGUAGAAUGAACCGGCGAGUUACGAUUUGUUGCAAGGUUAAGCGGAAAAAGCGGAGCCGUAGCGAAAGCGAGUCUGAAUAGGGCGCAUAAGUAACAGGUCGUAGACCCGAAACCAGGUGAUCUACCCAUGUCCAGGAUGAAGGUAAGGUAAUACUUACUGGAGGUCCGAACCCACGCACGUUGAAAAGUGCGGGGAUGAGGUGUGGGUAGCGGAGAAAUUCCAAUCGAACUUGGAGAUAGCUGGUUCUCUCCGAAAUAGCUUUAGGGCUAGCCUCGAGGUAAAGAGUCAUGGAGGUAGAGCACUGUUUGGACUAGGGGCCCUUCUCGGGUUACCGAAUUCAGAUAAACUCCGAAUGCCAUGUACUUAUACUCGGGAGUCAGACUGCGAGUGAUAAGA